GACGAACGCUGGCGGCGUGCCUAAUACAUGCAAGUCGAGCGAAGUUUUUCUGGUGCUUGCACUAGAAAAACUUAGCGGCGAACGGGUGAGUAACACGUAAAGAACCUGCCUCAUAGACUGGGACAACUAUUGGAAACGAUAGCUAAUACCGGAUAACAGUAUAUCUCGCAUGAGAGAUAUUUAAAAGUUGGUUAUGCUAACACUAUGAGAUGGCUUUGCGGUGCAUUAGCUAGUUGGUGGGGUAAAGGCCCACCAAGGCGACGAUGCAUAGCCGACCUGAGAGGGUGAUCGGCCACACUGGGACUGAGACACGGCCCAGACUCCUACGGGAGGCAGCAGUAGGGAAUCUUCCGCAAUGGGCGAAAGCCUGACGGAGCAACGCCGCGUGAGUGAAGAAGGAUUUCGGUUCGUAAAGCUCUGUUGUUAGGGAAGAAUGGAUAUGUAGUAACUAUACAUGUAAGAGACGGUACCUAACCAGAAAGCCACGGCUAACUACGUG
rnacentral:rRNA from 1 species